UGGGUAUUUGUGUGGACGCUUCGCGAGAAGGCAUCAGGCGAGGAUCCCGUGGGGGAAACAAGGAGUGGGUGCCGGAGGAGGCGAUCGGAGGCGGUUUCGUUGAGCGCUCCUUUAAGAACAAGGGUAUUGCGAAGAUACAGCGCCCUUCCUCUAGCGCCAAUCCUAUUGGUACAAAAAUCCGCUCGCGUCGGAGAAGCUGGAG
rnacentral:lncRNA from 1 species